UACCAGCACCCCGAGUGGUUGGGACGUUUAUUGGGCCUAAAGCAUCCGUAGCCGGUUCUACAAGUCUUCCGUUAAAUCCACCUGCUUAACAGAUGGGCUGCGGAAGAUACUAUAGAGCUAGGAGGCGGGAGAGGCAAGCGGUACUCGAUGGGUAGGGGUAAAAUCCGUUGAUCCAUUGAAGACCACCAGUGGCGAAGGCGGCUUGCCAGAACGCGCUCGACGGUGAGGGAUGAAAGCUGGGGGAGCAGACCGG
rnacentral:rRNA from 1 species